rnacentral:lncRNA from 1 species
CCAAUUGAAAAGGCAUGAAUCUUUGAGACUAAUUCUCUUCCAUUCUAAAAUAACAAAGCACUUUCCUCUACAGUUUCUCACUAUUUUAUGGACUGAAAACACAUAUGGUGCCAGGAAGGAUAUGCAAGAGGAGAUGAAAAAGCAAAAAGAGAAAAAAAAAAGAUGUGGAGCCUGAGUAAGUAAGCUGCCCAAGAAACAGUGAAAUUUAGAAGCUAUGCUUGAAGAGGAUGCCAGUUCUUUAGAUUUUCAUUUCUGAAUUCUUUCCCACUACAACAAAACGAUUCUCUAAGGGUAAAGAUCACAUUUAUUUCACUUGCUUGUACAGGUCCCAGCAAAGCAGCAACAUCUAAAUAUCCAAAGGCAUUUCCAAAGUGCCUAAUCGUACCAUGAUGUUUCGUUGGGCUCUGUCCCAACAUUCCUAAGACAAUCGAACGAAGGAUCAUUCUAAUAGUAAAUAUAGACAUGUUAUGUAACAUUACUGCUAUUGUGAGUGAUUAACUAGAAAAAAUUCACCAAUCGCCUGUUCAAAUGUCAUUUU